rnacentral:rRNA from 1 species
UACGGGGGGGGCAAGCGUUGUUCGGAAUCACUGGGCGUAAAGGGUGCGUAGGCGGCGGAGUAAGUUGGGUGUGAAAUCCCGGGGCUCAACCUCGGAAUGGCAUUCAAUACUGCUUCGCUAGAGUACUGGAGAGGAGGCUGGAAUUUACGGUGUAGCAGUGAAAUGCGUAGAUAUCGUAAGGAAGGCCGGUGGCGAAAGCGAGCCUCUGGACAGUUACUGACGCUGAUGCACGAAGGCCAGGGGAGCAAACGGG